GGAUAAGCGGAAGAAAUUCCGUCUAAUACCGCGUAACACCGCGGAGGGGCAUCCCUCGGCGGUUAAAGAUUCAUCGGCUGCGGAUGGCCAUGCGGCGCAUUAGCUAGUCGGCGGGGUAACGGCCCACCGAGGCGACGAUGCGUAGGGGUUCUGAGAGGAAGGUCCCCCACACUGGUACUGAGACACGGACCAGACUCCUACGGGAGGCAGCAGUGAGGAAUAUUGGUCAAUGGCCGGGAGGCUGAACCAGCCAAGUCGCGUGAGGGAAGACGGCCCUACGGGUUGUAAACCUCUUUUGUCAGGGAGCAAGAGGCGGGUCGAGACCUGCUGUGAGAGUACCUGAAGAAAAAGCAUCGGCUAACUCCGUGCCAGCAGCCGCGGUAAUACGGAGGAUGCGAGCGUUAUCCGGAUUUAUUGGGUUUAAAGGGUGCGCAGGCGGAGGCACAAGUCAGCGGUAAAAUCGCGGGGCUCAACCCCGCUCCGCCGUUGAAACUGUGUCCCUUGAGUGCGCGAAGGGUAGGCGGAAUGCGUGGUGUAGCGGUGAAAUGCAUAGAUAUCACGCAGAACUCCGAUCGCGAAGGCAGCCUACCGGCGCGCAACUGACGCUCAUGCACGAAAGCGUGGGUAUCGAACAGGAUUAGAUACCCUGGUAGUCCACGCAGUAAACGAUGAAUGCUAUCUGUCCGGCCGGAAUGACGGCUGGGU
rnacentral:rRNA from 1 species